AGGAUUAGAUACCCGGGUAGUCCCAGCUGUAAACGAUGCAGGCUAGGUGUUUGGACGGCCACGUGCCGUUCUAGUGCCGCAGGGAGGCUGUUAAGCCUGCCGCCUGGGGAGUACGGUCGCAAGAUUGAAACUUAAAGGAAUUGGCGGGGGAGCACCACAAGGGGUGAAGCUUGCAGUUUAAUUGGAGUCAACACCGGAAAUCUCACCGGGAGCGACAGCAGUUUGAAGGCCAGAUUAAAGGUCUUGCCAGACGAGCUGAGAGGAGGUGCAUGGCCGUCGCCAGUUCGUGCCGUGAGGUGUCCUGUUAAGUCAGGCAACGAUCGAGACCCACGUCCUCUGUUGCUACCAGUCUUGAGCUGGGCACACUGAGGAGACCGCCGCUGAUAAAGCGGAGGAAGGAGCGGGCCACGGCAGGUCAGUAUGCCCCGAAUCUCCCGGGCCACACGCGAGCUGCAAUGGCAGGUACAAUGGGUUCCGACCUCGAAAGGGGAAGGCAAUCUCGAAAGCCUGCCGUAGUUGGGAUUGAGGGUUGUAACCCAUCCUCAUGAACAUGGAAUCCCUAGUAAUCGCGUGUCACUAGCGCGCGGUGAAUACGUCCCUGCUCCUUGCACACACCGCCCGUCGUUCCACCCGAGCGAUCCUUGGGUGAGGCGUGGUCUUUCUUGGCUGCGUCGAAUCUGAGUUUCGUAAGGGGGGAAAAGUCGUAACAAG
rnacentral:rRNA from 1 species